rnacentral:rRNA from 1 species
AUGAACGCUGGCGGCGUGCCUAAUACAUGCACGUCGAGCGAACAGACGAGGAGCUUGCUCCUCUGACGUUAGCGGCGGACGGGUGAGUAACACGUGGAUAACCUACCUAUAAGACUGGGAUAACUUCGGGAAACCGGAGCUAAUACCGGAUAAUAUAUUGAACCGCAUGGUUCAAUAGUGAAAGACGGUUUUGCUGUCACUUAUAGAUGGAUCCGCGCCGCAUUAGCUAGUUGGUAAGGUAACGGCUUACCAAGGCAACGAUGCGUAGCCGACCUGAGAGGGUGAUCGGCCACACUGGAACUGAGACACGGUCCAGACUCCUACGGGAGGCAGCAGUAGGGAAUCUUCCGCAAUGGGCGAAAGCUUGACGGAGCACCGCCGCGUGAGUGAUGAAGGUCUUCGGAUCGUAAAACUCUGUUAUUAGGGAAGAACAAAUGUGUAAGUAACUAUGCACGUCUUGACGGUACCUAAUCAGAAAGCCACGGCUAACUACGUG